rnacentral:rRNA from 1 species
AUGCCAGGUGUACCAAGGGAACUCGCUGAGCACACGCUUAAUAUCAAUCCUAAGUUUAAACCAGUCAGGCAGUUCCUCCGCUGCUUUAACAACGAAAGGCGUAAGGCUAUUGGUGAGGAGGUAGCUCGGCUACUGGCCGCAGGGUUUAUCGUGGAAGUCUUUCACCCGGAGUGGCUAGCUAAUCCGGUGCUAGUCCUUAAGAAAAACAGCACUUGGCGUAUGUGUGUGGACUACACAGACUUGAACAAGGCUUGUCCAGCUGAUCCUUUUGCCCUCCCUCGUAUUGAUCAGAUUAUUGAUGCUACGACAGGUUGUGACCAUUUGUGUUUCCUGGAUGGUUAUUCUGGUUAUCAUCAGAUCAAAAUGGCAGUUAAGGACCAGGGGAAGACAACUUUCAUAACUCCCUUUGGGGCCUUCUGCUAUGUUUCUAUGCCCUUUGGGCUCAAGAGUGCCCAGGCGACUUACCAGCGCUGUGUUCAGAACUGUCUUAAUAAACAGAUUGGGCGCAAUGUUCAUGCAUAUGUGGAUGAUAUUGUGGUGAAGUCCAGGAAGGAGGAAACAUUGAUAGAUGACUUGAGAGAAACUUUUGACAAUCUCCGGGUUUAUAAGAUGAUGCUUAAUCCGGACAAAUGCGUCUUUGGUGUUCCGGCAGGCAAGCUUUUGGGUUUUCUGGUGUCUAACAGAGGCAUUGAGGCUAAUCUAGAAAAAAAUUCAGCUAUCACGUCCCUGGCUAAAUCGGCAUGUAUCAACGAUGUUCAGCGUUUGGCGGGCCGGAUUGCGGCUUUGAGACGGUUUAUCAGUCGUCUUGGGGAGAAGGCUGUCCCUUUAUAUCAGAUGUUGAAGAAAACAGACGACUUUGUUUGGAGCGAUACGGCUGAUAAAGCGUUUGAGAAUUUGAAGAGAUAG